CCUACGGGGGGCAGCAGUGGGGAAUAUUGGACAAUGGGGGGAACCCUGAUCCAGCGACGCCGCGUGAGUGAAGAAGUAUUUCGGUAUGUAAAGCUCUAUCAGCAGGGAAGAAAAUGACGGUACCUGACUAAGAAGCUCCGUCUAACUACGUGCCAGCAGCCGCGGUAAUACGUAGGGGGCAAGCGUUAUCCGGAUUUACUGGGGGUAAAGGGAGCGUAGACGGUGCAGCAAUUCUGGUGUGAAAGGUCGGGGGCCAACCCCGGGACUGCAUUUGAAACUGUUGAACUGGAGUGCAGGAGAGGUAAGCGGAAUGCCUGGUGUAGCGGUGAAAUGCGUAGAUAUUAGGAAGAACACCAGUGGCGAAGGCGGCUUACUGGACUGUAACUGACGUUGAGGCUCGAAAGCGUGGGGAGCAAACAGGAUUAGAUACCCGGGUAGUC
rnacentral:rRNA from 1 species